rnacentral:sRNA from 1 species
CAUCCAUUUGCCAUGGGUCCCACCUGUAGGAAUACCCAAUCUUGUUUAUAAGAGCUUUGAUACAUGCAAAAUAUUCGAAAACAACGUCCGAACAUAUAAUUUUCGCCCCGUAAUAUAGCAAAGAUCACGAAAAGGCCCGAAAAAGUACAUUAAGGUCAAAAUUUGGAAUAGAAAAAAAAACCAAAAGAAGUAUUCCAUUGUCCUUUGUCAUUCAUCGAAGAGCUCUCUUUGGGCUUUCCGAAAAGGUAUCGCAAGCCAAGUUUGGCCUCACGGUUUAAAAGUUAUAAAGUCAUACAUUUUUAACAAAAAAAAAAAGAGAAAAAACCGAAAAAAAGAGGGAUGCAACACGAGGACUUUUCUGGAGGUCACCCAUCCUAGUACUACUCUCGCCCGAUC